GGUUAAGCGACUAAGCGUACACGGUGGAUGCCCUGGCAGUCAGAGGCGAUGAAGGACGUGCUAAUCUGCGAUAAGCGUCGGUAAGGUGAUAUGAACCGUUAUAACCGGCGAUUUCCGAAUGGGGAAACCCAGUGUGUUUCGACACACUAUCAUUAACUGAAUCCAUAGGUUAAUGAGGCGAACCGGGGGAACUGAAACAUCUAAGUACCCCGAGGAAAAGAAAUCAACCGAGAUUCCCCCAGUAGCGGCGAGCGAACGGGGAGCAGCCCAGAGCCUGAAUCAGUGUGUGUGUUAGUGGAAGCGUCUGGAAAGGCGCGCGAUACAGGGUGACAGCCCCGUACACAAAAAUGCACAUAUUGUGAGCUCGAUGAGUAGGGCGGGACACGUGGUAUCCUGUCUGAAUAUGGGGGGACCAUCCUCCAAGGCUAAAUACUCCUGACUGACCGAUAGUGAACCAGUACCGUGAGGGAAAGGCGAAAAGAACCCCGGCGAGGGGAGUGAAAAAGAACCUGAAACCGUGUACGUACAAGCAGUGGGAGCCUCUUUUAUGGGGUGACUGCGUACCUUUUGUAUAAUGGGUCAGCGACUUAUAUUCUGUAGCAAGGUUAACCGAAUAGGGGAGCCGAAGGGAAACCGAGUCUUAACUGGGCGUUAAGUUGCAGGGUAUAGACCCGAAACCCGGUGAUCUAGCCAUGGGCAGGUUGAAGGUUGGGUAACACUAACUGGAGGACCGAACCGACUAAUGUUGAAAAAUUAGCGGAUGACUUGUGGCUGGGGGUGAAAGGCCAAUCAAACCGGGAGAUAGCUGGUUCUCCCCGAAAGCUAUUUAGGUAGCGCCUCGUGAAUUCAUCUCCGGGGGUAGAGCACUGUUUCGGCAAGGGGGUCAUCCCGACUUACCAACCCGAUGCAAACUGCGAAUACCGGAGAAUGUUAUCACGGGAGACACACGGCGGGUGCUAACGUCCGUCGUGAAGAGGGAAACAACCCAGACCGCCAGCUAAGGUCCCAAAGUCAUGGUUAAGUGGGAAACGAUGUGGGAAGGCCCAGACAGCCAGGAUGUUGGCUUAGAAGCAGCCAUCAUUUAAAGAAAGCGUAAUAGCUCACUGGUCGAGUCGGCCUGCGCGGAAGAUGUAACGGGGCUAAACCAUGCACCGAAGCUGCGGCAGCGACGCUGAUGCGUUGUUGGGUAGGGGAGCGUUCUGUAAGCCUGUGAAGGUGUGCUGUGAGGCAUGCUGGAGGUAUCAGAAGUGCGAAUGCUGACAUAAGUAACGAUAAAGCGGGUGAAAAGCCCGCUCGCCGGAAGACCAAGGGUUCCUGUCCAACGUUAAUCGGGGCAGGGUGAGUCGACCCCUAAGGCGAGGCCGAAAGGCGUAGUCGAUGGGAAACAGGUUAAUAUUCCUGUACUUGGUGUUACUGCGAAGGGGGGACGGAGAAGGCUAUGUUGGCCGGGCGACGGUUGUCCCGGUUUAAGCGUGUAGGCUGGUUUUCCAGGCAAAUCCGGAAAAUCAAGGCUGAGGCGUGAUGACGAGGCACUACGGUGCUGAAGCAACAAAUGCCCUGCUUCCAGGAAAAGCCUCUAAGCAUCAGGUAACAUCAAAUCGUACCCCAAACCGACACAGGUGGUCAGGUAGAGAAUACCAAGGCGCUUGAGAGAACUCGGGUGAAGGAACUAGGCAAAAUGGUGCCGUAACUUCGGGAGAAGGCACGCUGAUACGUAGGUGAAGUCCCUCGCGGAUGGAGCUGAAAUCAGUCGAAGAUACCAGCUGGCUGCAACUGUUUAUUAAAAACACAGCACUGUGCAAACACGAAAGUGGACGUAUACGGUGUGACGCCUGCCCGGUGCCGGAAGGUUAAUUGAUGGGGUCAGCGCAAGCGAAGCUCUUGAUCGAAGCCCCGGUAAACGGCGGCCGUAACUAUAACGGUCCUAAGGUAGCGAAAUUCCUUGUCGGGUAAGUUCCGACCUGCACGAAUGGCGUAAUGAUGGCCAGGCUGUCUCCACCCGAGACUCAGUGAAAUUGAACUCGCUGUGAAGAUGCAGUGUACCCGCGGCAAGACGGAAAGACCCCGUGAACCUUUACUAUAGCUUGACACUGAACAUUGAGCCUUGAUGUGUAGGAUAGGUGGGAGGCUUGGAAGUGUGGACGCCAGUCUGCAUGGAGCCGACCUUGAAAUACCACCCUUUAAUGUUUGAUGUUCUAACGUUGACCCGUAAUCCGGGUUGCGGACAGUGUCUGGUGGGUAGUUUGACUGGGGCGGUCUCCUCCUAAAGAGUAACGGAGGAGCACGAAGGUUGGCUAAUCCUGGUCGGACAUCAGGAGGUUAGUGCAAUGGCAUAAGCCAGCUUGACUGCGAGCGUGACGGCGCGAGCAGGUGCGAAAGCAGGUCAUAGUGAUCCGGUGGUUCUGAAUGGAAGGGCCAUCGCUCAACGGAUAAAAGGUACUCCGGGGAUAACAGGCUGAUACCGCCCAAGAGUUCAUAUCGACGGCGGUGUUUGGCACCUCGAUGUCGGCUCAUCACAUCCUGGGGCUGAAGUAGGUCCCAAGGGUAUGGCUGUUCGCCAUUUAAAGUGGUACGCGAGCUGGGUUUAGAACGUCGUGAGACAGUUCGGUCCCUAUCUGCCGUGGGCGCUGGAGAACUGAGGGGGGCUGCUCCUAGUACGAGAGGACCGGAGUGGACGCAUCACUGGUGUUCGGGUUGUCAUGCCAAUGGCACUGCCCGGUAGCUAAAUGCGGAAGAGAUAAGUGCUGAAAGCAUCUAAGCACGAAACUUGCCCCGAGAUGAGUUCUCCCUGACUCCUUGAGAGUCCUGAAGGAACGUUGAAGACGACGACGUUGAUAGGCCGGGUGUGUAAGCGCAGCGAUGCGUUGAGCUAACCGGUACUAAUGAACCGUGAGGCUUAACCUU
rnacentral:rRNA from 1 species